rnacentral:rRNA from 1 species
CAACCCUGAGUACAGUGGCGCACGGGUGCGUAACACGUAGGCAAUCUGCCCUCAGGCGGGGGAUAACCAUCCGAAAGGAUGGCUAAUACCGCGUAAGAAACCACGGUCGCUCCGGCGACAGGGGUAAAAGCUGGCCUCUACUUGUAAGCUAGCACCAGAGGAGGAGCCUGCGGCCCAUCAGCUUGUUGGCGAGGUAACGGCUCACCAAGGCGAAGACGGGUAGCUGGUCUGAGAGGAUGAUCAGCCACACUGGCACUGAAACACGGGCCAGACUCCUACGGGAGGCAGCAGUGGGGAAUAUUGGACAAUGGGCGAAAGCCUGAUCCAGCGACGCCGCGUGGGUGAUGAAGGCCUUCGGGUCGUAAAGCCCUGUGGGAAGGAAAGAAAACGUUGCGGGCGAACAGGCCGCGACCUUGACGGUACCUUCUCAGAAAGCACCGGCUAACUCUGUGCCAGCAGCCGCGGUAA